rnacentral:rRNA from 1 species
UACGAAGGGGGCUAGCGUUGUUCGGAUUCACUGGGCGUAAAGGGUGCGUAGGCGGUCGGGUAAGUCUGAUGUGAAAUCUCACAGCUUAACUGUGAAACUGCAUUGGAUACUAUCCGGCUAGAGGAAUGGAGGGGAGACUGGAAUACUUGGUGUAGCAGUGAAAUGCGUAGAUAUCAAGUGGAACACCAGUGGCGAAGGCGAGUCUCUGGACAUUUCCUGACGCUGAGGCACGAAAGCCAGGGGAGCAAACGGG